GACAGAGGUGCCGAGCGUUAGGCGGAAUCACUGGGCUUAAAGCGUGUGUAGGCGGCGGCGUAAGUACCUUGUGAAAUCCCACGGCUCAACCGUGGAAGUGCACUCGAAACUGGAUGGCUAGAGUCCUGGAGAGGAAGGUGGAAUGCUUGGUGUAGAGGUGAAAUUCGUAGAUAUCAAGCGGAACACCGGUGGCGAAGGCGGCCUUCUGGACAGUGACUGACGCUGAGACGCGAAAGCGUGGGGAGCAAACAGGG
rnacentral:rRNA from 1 species